CCAGCCUGGCAUCGAACUCGGGUCUGUAGUGACGCCUCAAGCAAUGUGAUUCAGUGCAUUAGACCGCUGCGCCACUCGGGAGAGUCAACGUUGGCUUUAGAUCACAAUAUUGAUCAGUUCUGAGAGAGAAUGGCUGAGUGUAUGGUCAGGGUAAUAUGAUAUAGGCCUACAGUAUAUGCUGCUGUCAUAAUCUCCAAUGGAUAGUGCUGCACUUUGCUUUUAUUUGCUCUCAGCUACAGGACAGCACACACAGGGCUUCAGGAAGACAGCAAGUCAUUUCUUCUCAGACCAGCCACUCUUUGGCAGUUUGAGUGCAUUUGUCAAGAAUGUGCUUCUCCUGGUUCCAUGUGUAGGUGAAUUCCUCACUUUCACUGCUAUUGAGAGCUGUCCUCAUGGCCCUCAUCUUACAUGUGCCCAUCAACCUCAUCUACUAGCAAUUAGCCUCCACUUGGCUCCACAGGGAGGCUGUGCUGAAGAGCCACAUAGCCUCCACUUGGCUCCACAGGGAGGCUGUGCUGAAGAGACAUAUAGCCUCCACUUGGCUCCACAGGGAGCCUGUGCUGAAGAGACACAUAGCCUCCACUUGGCUCCACAGGGAGGCUGUGCUGAAGAGACAUAUAGCCUCCACUUGGCUCCACAGGGAGGCUGUGCUGAAGAGACACAUAGUCUCCACUUGGCUCCACAGGGAGGCUGUGCUGAAGAGACAUAUAGCCUCCACUUGGCUCCACAGGGAGGCUGUGCUGAAGAGACACAUAGCCUCCACUUGGCUCCACAGGGAGGCUGUGCUGAAGAGACACAUAGUCUCCACUUGGCUCCACAGGGAGGCUGUGCUGAAGAGACAUAUAGCCUCCACUUGGCUCCACAGGGAGGCUGUGCUGAAGAGACACAUAGCCUCCACUUGACUCCACAGGGAGGCUGUGCUGAAGAGACAUAUAGCCCCCACUUGGCUCAACAGGGAGGCUGUGCUGAAGAGACACAUUUACAUUUAACAUUUGAGUCAUUUAGCUGACGCUCUUAUCCAGAGCACCUUACAGGAGCAAUCAGGGUUAAGUGCCUUGCUAAAGGGCACAUCAACAGAUCUUUCACUGGAAUUCGAACCAGUGACUUUUCGGUUACUGGCCCAACACGCUUAACCACUAGACAUGUGCCCGCACUCAGAGAGUUCCCAGACCACUCAGAGAGUUCCCAGACCACUCAGAGAGCUCCCAGACCACUCAGAGAGUUCCCAGACCACUCAGAGAGCUCCCAGACCACAGAGAGUUCCCAGACCACUCAGAGAGUUCCAGACCACAGAGAGUUCCAGACCACUCAGAGAGUUCCAGACCACUCAGAGAGUUCCAGUCAGAGAGUUCCAGACCACUCAGAGAGCUCCCAGACCACUCAGAGAGCUCCCAGACCACUCAGAGAGCUCCCAGACCACUCAGAGAGCUCCCAGACCACUCAGAGAGCUCCCAGACCACUCAGAGAGUUCCCAGACCACUCAGAGAGCUCCCAGACCACAGAGAGUUCCCAGACCACUCAGAGAGUUCCCAGACCACUCAGAGAGUUCCCAGACCACUCAGAGAGUUCCAGACCACAGAGAGUUCCAGACCACAGAGAGUUCCAGACCACUCAGAGAGUUCCAGACCACUCAGAGAGUUCCAGACCACUCAGAGAGUUCCAGACCACUCAGAGAGUUCCAGACCACUCAGAGAGUUCCAGACCACUCAGAGAGUUCCAGACCACAGAGAGUUCCAGACCACAGAGAGUUCCAGACCACACAGAGAGUUCCAGACCACUCAGAGAGUUCCCAGACCACUCAGAGAGUUCCCAGACCACUCAGAGAGUUCCAGACCACUCAGAGAACUCCCAGACCACUCAGAGAGCUCCCAGACCACUCAGAGAGCUCCCAGACCACUCAGAGAGCUCCCAGACCACUCAGAGAGCUCCUAGACCACUCAGAGAGUUCCAGACCACAGAGACUCCCAGACCACAGAGAGUUCCAGACCACAGAGAGUUCCAGACCACAGAGAGUUCCAGACCACUCAGAGAGUUCCAGACCACUCAGAGAGUUCCAGACCACUCAGAGAGUUCCAGACCACUCAGAGAGUUCCAGAC
rnacentral:lncRNA from 1 species